GAUGAACGCGGCGGCGUGCUUAACACAUGCAAGUCGAACGAUAAAGCCCAGCUUGCUGGGUGGAUUAGUGGCGAACGGGUGAGUAACACGUGAGUAACCUGCCCUUGACUCUGGGAUAAGCCCGGGAAACUGGGUCUAAUACCGGAUAGGAGCGCCUGUCGCAUGACGGGUGUUGGAAAGAUUUUUCGGUCAUGGAUGGACUCGCGGCCUAUCAGCUUGUUGGUGAGGUAAUGGCUCACCAAGGCGACGACGGGUAGCCGGCCUGAGAGGGUGACCGGCCACACUGGGACUGAGACACGGCCCAGACUCCUACGGGAGGCAGCAGUGGGGAAUAUUGCACAAUGGGCGGAAGCCUGAUGCAGCGACGCCGCGUGAGGGAUGACGGCCUUCGGGUUGUAAACCUCUUUCAGUAGGGAAGAAGCGAAAGUGACGUACCUGCAGAGAGCC
rnacentral:rRNA from 1 species